rnacentral:misc_RNA from 1 species
AACUAACGCUAUAUAAGUAUCAGUUUCUGUACUUUAUUGGUAUGAGAAGCUUCCGGAAACAUCAUUCCGGCAAAAUUUUGAAGUGGGGCGGAGCCCUACA